CCUACUGUGUGCUGCAGUGGGGAAUAUUGGGCAAUGUGCGCAAGCCUGACCCAGCAACGCCGCGUGAAGGAAGCAGGCUUUCGGGUUGUAAACUUCUUUUAAGAGGGAAGAGCAGAAGACGGUACCUCUUGAAUAAGCAACGGCUAACUAAGUGCCAGCAGCCGCGGUAAUACGUAGGUGGCAAGCGUUGUCCGGAUUUACUGGGUGUAAAGGGCGUGCAGCCGGGUAGACAAGUCAGGUGUGAAAUCCCGCGGCUCAACCGCGGAACUGCAGUUGAAACUGUUUUUCUUGAGUACCGGAGAGGUCAUCGGAAUUCCUUGUGUAGCGGUGAAAUGCGUAGAUAUAAGGAAGAACAACAGUGGCGAAGGCGGAUGACUGGACGGCAACUGACGGUGAGGCGCGAAAGCGUGGGGAGCAAACAGGAUUAGAUACCCCUGUAGUC
rnacentral:rRNA from 1 species